AUCACUAAGCGGAGGAAAAGAAACUAACAAGGAUUCCCCUAGUAGCGGCGAGCGAACCGGGAGAAGCCCAGCUUGAAAAUCGCGUCGUUUCGGCGGCGCGAGUUGUAGUCUGGAGAAGCGUCCUCUGCAGCGGACCCGGCCUAAGUCCCCUGGAAAGGGGCGUCAGAGAGGGUGAGAACCCCGUCGGGCCGGGACCCUGCUGCUCCACGAGGCGCUUUCUACGAGUCGGGCUGUUUGAGAAUGCAGCCCUAAGCGGGAGGUAAAUUCCUUCCAAGGCUAAAUACAGGCGGGAGACCGAUAGCGAACAAGUACCGCGAGGGAAAGAUGAAAAGGACUUUGAAAAGAGAGUCAAAGAGUGCUUGAAAUUGCUGGGAGGGAAGCGAAUGGAGGCCUCACGUGCGCCCCGGUCGGAUGCGGAACGGCGCGAGCUGGUCCGGCCUCGACGCGGGGCGCCUGUCGGCGUGGGCUCCCUGGGCGGGAUAAACGGUCCCGUCGCCUCCGGGGCGGAUGGGGCGUCGGUCGCCGUCGAGGGGGCCGAGGCAAGUCCGUAAGAAGCGCGCGCCUUCGGGGGCGGGCCUGCCUCCUUCACGGGGGGCGGGCACCUGCGCGCUCGGGAUGCCGGCACGGCGGGCUU
rnacentral:rRNA from 1 species